rnacentral:rRNA from 1 species
CUGUGAGCUCGAUGAGUAGGGCGGGACACGUGGUAUCCUGUCUGAAUAUGGGGGGACCAUCCUCCAAGGCUAAAUACUCCUGACUGACCGAUAGUGAACCAGUACCGUGAGGGAAAGGCGAAAAGAACCCCGGCGAGGGGAGUGAAAAAGAACCUGAAACCGUGUACGUACAAGCAGUGGGAGCACGCUUAGGCGUGUGACUGCGUACCUUUUGUAUAAUGGGUCAGCGACUUAUAUUCUGUAGCAAGGUUAACCGAAUAGGGGAGCCGAAGGGAAACCGAGUCUUAACUGGGCGUUAAGUUGCAGGGUAUAGACCCGAAACCCGGUGAUCUAGCCAUGGGCAGGUUGAAGGUUGGGUAA